rnacentral:rRNA from 1 species
AUACGGAGGAUGCGAGCGUUAUCCGGAUUUAUUGGGUUUAAAGGGAGCGUAGGUGGGAUAUUAAGUCAGCUGUGAAAGUUUGGGGCUCAACCUUAAAAUUGCAGUUGAUACUGGUUUCCUUGAGUACGGUAUAGGUGGGCGGAAUUCGUUGUGUAGCGGUGAAAUGCAUAGAUAUGACGAAGAACACCGAUUGCGUAGGCAGCUGACCAGACCGCAAAUGACGCUCAUGCACGAAAGUGCGGGGAUCGAACAGGAUUAGAUACCCUGGUAGUCCGCACAGUAAACGAUGAAUACUUGUUUUCGGCGAUAUAAUGUCGGAGGCAAAGCGAAAGCGAUAAGUAUUCCACCUGGGGAGUACGCCGGCAACGGUGAAACUCAAAGGAAUUGACGGGG